rnacentral:rRNA from 1 species
GUUUCAGCAGCCGCGGUAAUACGGAGGAUCCAAGCGUUAUCCGGAUUCAUUGGGUUUAAAGGGUGCGCAGGCGGAAUGAUAAGUCAGUGGUGAAAUCCUACAGCUCAACUGUAGAACUGCCAUUGAUACUGUCGUUCUUGAGUACACUUGGAGUGGGCGGAAUGUGUCAUGUAGCGGUGAAAUGCUUAGAUAUGACACAGAACACCGAUCGCGAAGGCAGCUCACUAAAUUGUAACUGACGCUCAGGCACGAAAGCGUGGGGAUCAAACAGGAUUAGAAACCCCAGUAGUCC